UGGGGAAUAUUGGACAAUGGGGGAAACCCUGAUCCAGCCAUGCCGCGUGAGUGUAGAAGGCCCUCGGGUUGUAAAGCUCUUUUGUCCGGAAAGAAAAGCUUCGGGUUAAUACCCCGGGGUUCUGACGGUACCGGAAGAAUAAGCACCGGCUAACUUCGUGCCAGCAGCCGCGGUAAUACGAAGGGUGCAAGCGUUACUCGGAAUUACUGGGCGUAAAGCGUGCGUAGGUGGUUGUUUAAGUCUGAUGUGAAAGCCCUGGGCUCAACCUGGGAAUGGCAUUGGAAACUGGGCAGCUAGAGUGCGGUAGAGGGUAGUGGAAUUCCCGGUGUAGCAGUGAAAUGCGUAGAGAUCGGGAGGAACAUCUGUGGCGAAGGCGACUGCCUGGACCAGCACUGACACUGAGGCACGAAAGCGUGGGGAGCAAACA
rnacentral:rRNA from 1 species